UACGGGAGGCAGCAGUGAGGAAUAUUGGUCAAUGGACGAGAGUCUGAACCAGCCAAGUAGCGUGAAGGAUGACUGCCCUAUGGGUUGUAAACUUCUUUUAUACGGGAAUAAAGUGAGGCACGCGUGCCUUUUUGUAUGUACCGUAUGAAUAAGGAUCGGCUAACUCCGUGCCAGCAGCCGCGGUAAUACGGAGGAUCCGAGCGUUAUCCGGAUUUAUUGGGUUUAAAGGGAGCGUAGGCGGACGCUUAAGUCAGUUGUGAAAGUUUGCGGCUCAACCGUAAAAUUGCAGUUGAUACUGGGUGUCUUGAGUACAGUAGAGGCAGGCGGAAUUCGUGGUGUAGCGGUGAAAUGCUUAGAUAUCACGAAGAACUCCGAUUGCGAAGGCAGCCUGCUGGACUGUAACUGACGCUGAUGCUCGAAAGUGUGGGUAUCAAACAGGAUUAGAUACCCUGGUAGUCCACACAGUAAACGAUGAAUACUCGCUGUUUGCGAUAUACAGUAAGCGGCCAAGCGAAAGCGUUAAGUAUUCCACC
rnacentral:rRNA from 1 species